GGAUAUGAAGGCCAUGUGGCUGCAACACUUGAAACCCCAUUGAUUGCCAGAAUCAAUACUAAUGAUCGGGGUAACGGUGUCCCUUUCCUCCCUAACUCCAAGUGCGUCCAUUCCAGAGUGGCGCACUCAGUCAAAGUGGAUGACCUUCACCACAGAGGAGGACCAGUCGUUGGCCAAGGGUAUGUGAGUAGCUGCUAGAACCUCUGAACAAGCUCUCAUGUGUCCUCAAGAAUGCAGUGGUCCAGCCUGAAGGAAGGGCUUACUGGCUGUACCU
rnacentral:snRNA from 1 species